rnacentral:sRNA from 1 species
GGAAAUGCUGGCACCUGGGCCCAGAAGCCAGGGCCUCUAACUCCUGGGGUUGAUUUCUUCAGUGAAGUUGUACCCUACAAAGGGAAUAUGGCCAAAGCGGCACUCAACUGAAGGCUGAUAUCAGGCGAUUAGACAGCCAUGCAUUCUGCGUUUGUCUGGAAUGGAUUGUAGAGAGAUGGACUUAUAUGAGGACUACCAGUCCCCGUUUGAUUUUGAUGCAGGAGUGAACAAAAGCUAUCUCUACUUGUCUCCUAGUGGAAAUUCAUCUCCACCCGGAUCACCUACUCUUCAGAAAUUUGGUCUGCUGAGAACAGACCCAGUCCCUGAGGAAGGAGAAGAUGUUGCUGCCACGAUCAGUGCCACAGAGACCCUCUCGGAAGAGGAGCAGGAAGAGCUAAGAAGAGAACUUGCAAAGGUAAAGAACCAUUCC